AUACAGGUUUUGGGAUCCAGCAGCCAGAUUAGCAAGGUUUUCUGCCAGACGUAACCGUUGAGCCUUGAGUGGUUACGUAGUCUUAAGCAGAGAUGAGAGACUGAGACAGAAAGAUGGUAUCAUAGUAAGGCAAGCUGAGGUCAGUGGGAAGGAGAAGUGCAAGGUCAGAUGGUCCAAAUUCAGCAACGUUGAACAAAGAGGAACAAGCUUGAUUAGAGAGUCACGGGAACCACAAUAAUCUGGCAUGAAACAGAGACAGGAAGUGGCUUACAUCGGCCAAGAGCCAGACACCUGACCAGACACAUCUGAAGAGAGUUGGCACUGAUAACAUGGCUUGUAGAAUCAAGGUUAUUGGAGCUCAGGCAAAUCUGGAAAAGGCAGUCUGUUGAAGAGGAUCAGCAACAUUGAAAUCAGAGCUCCAAACCCAAGAGAAUCAGUUCCACACACGUGGACAAUGCCUUCUCCAAUUAGCCUCAUGUUGGAAAAAUGUAAUUAACUGUUUUUGAUGUGUAUAGAUUCCACUCUGGUCGUCUCUGAUAAAGUGUUCAUCAGGCACAAAACAUGUAAGAGUCAUCGUGGUUGUGGCUUCAGCCCCUGCCGUACAGUCCCAGACUCCCAGACGAAAUUUCAACUGAAGAAAAUAAAGUUUUUGGAUUUUAGACUUUAUUGCACGUUUUGGGAGUAUAUAUUUUUUCCAUCUUAUUUGAGCUGCUUCUGAUCUGAUUGAGUUGUCACACAGGUUUAGACCAUGUGUUAGCCCAAGUGUAUAUAAGUAGUAUGAAGGUGUCUUCCUAACCAGCCACCUUUAAAACUGUUUUUAUUUUUGGACAUAAUAUGAUAAACAUAGGCCUCGAUUUAAUUCUUUUGGAUAAGCUUUUUGAGUGAUCACAAUCCGGCCUCAAUUUAAUAUUUUUGGAUAGGUUUGAUCACAAACUGUUAGAGAAGCUUUUCAAAUUAUUUAUCUACAGAUGUCAACAUUAAUGUCUAUGGGAUUUUAUGUAGGUGAAUCAUUUGACAUUUGUUUCUAACAGACUGGGAUCAUUUGAAAAGCGUAUCCAAAUGGAAUAAGUCAAGGCCAUAAUGUCAAACAUGUGCCAGUGCCAAGAUGCAGGACCUUGUCUGUGCCUUUUUGUCAUUGCAAGCUUGUACCUAGCUUGAUUCUGUAAGAUAUUGGCCGUUCUGCGCAGUCAUUCAUGAAGCAGUGACAAUAAGUAUAAAUUAUGGCCAUUAUUUGACACUUGGUACAGAGCUACACUUAGUGAGUUUGUCUACAUUUUCUAAUUCUUUCUUAUCUUGAUAUUUAUCUUUCAGACCUUUGCUUAUCCUUGUAUUUUGUUUGUUGAAUUAAACUGAAGUAACACAUUUUCUUAUGGGGUAAAAAGGGAAGAAAAUGGUCAAAUGGAUCCCUUCUUGCCCAAUAUUAUCAACAAAUAAACAUAUUGCUGGGGCUAAAGCUGGUGCAUUUACAAAUCUUCUCUGAGUGUUGGAACUGAAAUCGGCUACUCGACGGCAUGAAUACUGCUGGACUUCCAGGCCGUUCGGGAGUGCCGGUCAUUCGGUAGUUUGUUCCCCUAUAUGCAUUGAGUACUUUGAGGUGAAUGUAAAAUAAUACGUGUUUUCGUGCGGCGUUCGGUUAUUUAGACUGGGAACUGAGCGGUACUUUCACAAAAGGUGUGCUCAGACACCAGCUAUCUACCGAACGGUCAUUCGGUAAAAUAACAUGAAUAAUGUAGAAGUUGUGCAUUUUUGUGUGAAAUGUUAGUUCUGCUGCACGGAGGGAUAAUCCACUUAACUUGCUAUUUUAGUGGGAGUAUCGCUCUCGUGCAGCAGUGCAUGAUGGGAGAAAUGUCCGGGUUGUUAAGUUCCCCAUGUAGUCCCCUACUGUACAACCCCUGUAAUGUCAGUAGGGAAACCCCUUACAUGGGGAACUGCAUAAAUACUGUGACCUGUGAUUAAAAG
rnacentral:lncRNA from 1 species